rnacentral:rRNA from 1 species
ACGCUGGCGGCAGGCUUAACACAUGCAAGUCGAACGCCCCGCAAGGGGAGUGGCGGACGGGUGAGGAACACGUGGGAACGUACCCUUUGGUUCGGAACAACCCUGGGAAACUAGGGCUAAUACCGGAUACGAGCGAGAGCUGAAAGGUUUACCGCCGAAGGAUCGGCCCGCGUCUGAUUAGCUAGUUGGUGAGGUAAUGGCUCACCAAGGCGACGAUCAGUAGCUGGUCUGAGAGGAUGAUCAGCCACAUUGGGACUGAGACACGGCCCAAACUCCUACGGGAGGCAGCAGUGGGGAAUAUUGGACAAUGGGCGCAAGCCUGAUCCAGCCAUGCCGCGUGAGUGAUGACGGCCCUAGGGUUGUAAAGCUCUUUUACCCGGGAAGAUAAUGACGGUACCGGGAGAAUAAGCCCCGGCUAACUUCGUGCCAGCAGCCGCGGUAAUACGAAGGGGGCUAGCGUUGUUCGGAUUUACUGGGCGUAAAGCGCACGUAGGCGGACGCUUAAGUCAGGGGUGAAAUCCCGAGGCUCAACCUCGGAACU